rnacentral:rRNA from 1 species
CCAGACUCCUACGGGAGGCAGCAGUGGGGGAUAUUGGACAAUGGGGGGAACCCUGAUCCAGCGACGCCGCGUGAGUGAAGAAGUAUCUCGGUAUGUAAAGCUCUAUCAGCAGGGAAGAAAGAAAUGACGGUACCUGAGUAAGAAGCCCCGGCUAACUACGUGCCAGCAGCCGCGGUAAUACGUAUGGAGCAAGCGUUAUCCGGAUUUACUGGGUGUAAGGGGAGCGUAGGCGGCCCUGUAAGUCUGAUGUGAAAAUUUGGGGCUCAACCCCAAACGUGCAUUGGAAACUGCAGGGCUUGAGUGCCGGAGAGGCAGGCGGAAUUCCUAGUGUAGCGGUGAAAUGCGUAGAUAUUAGGAGGAACACCAGUGGCGAAGGCGGCCUGCUGGACGGUAACUGACGCUGAGGCUCGAAAGCGUGGGGAGCAAACAGGAUUAGAUACCAGC